GUAGGUGAACCUGCGGAAGGAUCAUUAACAAAUCUACAACACACCCUGUGUAAACGUUUGCGUUCCCUCGUGCGCUCGGCGUGGCGUUCGCGCACCGCCUUGCCGCCGAGGGAGCCGUGACCCCAUACCAUUGAUUGGCAGCCUUAGAUGAUACAUCAUAAAAGCAAACAACUUUUAACAAUGGAUCUCUUGGCUCUU
rnacentral:misc_RNA from 1 species